rnacentral:rRNA from 1 species
GGGCCCGCACAAGCGGUGGAGCAUGUGGUUUAAUUCGAUGAUACGCGAGGAACCUUACCAGGGCUUAAAUGUAAGUUGCAUAGACCAGAGAUGGUCUUUUCUUCGGACUACUUACAAGGUGCUGCAUGGUUGUCGUCAGCUCGUGCCGUGAGGUGUCAGGUUAAGUCCUAUAACGAGCGCAACCCCUGUCGUUAGUUGCCAUCAAGUAAAGUUGGGUACUCUAGCGAGACUGCCGGUGCAAACCGUGAGGAAGGUGGGGAUGACGUCAAAUCAUCACGGCCCUUACGUCCUGGGCUACACACGUGCUACAAUGGCCGGUACAGAGAGCAGCCACUACGCGAGUAGGAGCGAAUCUAUAAAACCGGUCUCAGUUCGGAUCGCAGUCUGCAACUCGACUGCGUGAAGCUGGAAUCGCUAGUAAUCGG